CUAUUUCAUUUUUUCAAAGUGCUUUUAAAUGUAUUUUUUUUUCUUUUUCUUUUAGUGCAAAGAAUGGAAAUGGAUAUACUGAUGUUUUCACCCCAGACACCACCUCUGAAAGAAUGGAGUAACGAGCCUCAUUCAGAAGUUGCACUGCUGAUACCCAGAACUCAGGUUCUUUUCUAAACACCUCACAAAUUACUUCUCUCUGGUGAAUAUGGAAAUGAAAGACUUGUUUCCUUUAAAGGCUGAAUUCUACUGUUUCGGUGCUGAAAGUGAAAUGGACUAGAAUGCCACGUCAAAUCACCUGAAAAUAAAAAAGGACCUG
rnacentral:lncRNA from 1 species